rnacentral:rRNA from 1 species
AGAGUUUGACCCUGGCUCAGGAUGAACGCUAGCGAAAUGCCUAACACAUGCAAGUCGAACGGAUCUUGCCUCGUAGUAAUACGGAGUAAGAUUAGUGGCAAACGAGCGAGUAACGCGUGCUUAACCUGCCCCGAAGAUGGGUAUAACUGCAGAGAUGUAGCUAAUUCCCAAUAUGCUCACGAUGGUGAAAUUCCAAUGUGAGGAAAGAUUUAUCGCUUCGGGAGGGGGGUGCGUCCUAUCAGGUAGUUGGUGGGGUAAUGGCCUACCAAGCCUAUGACGGGUAACCGGUCUGAGAUGAUGUCCGGUCGCGAUGGGACUGAGAUACGGCCCAUACUCCUACGGGAGGCAGCAGUGGGGAAUCUUGCACAAUGGACGAAAGUCUGAUGCAGCAAUUUCGCGUGAAGGAUGAAGCAUUACGGUGUGUAAACUUCUUUUUUGGCAGAAGACGAAUGACGGUAUGUCAAGAAUAAGAGACGGCUAACUACGUGCCAGCAGCCGCGGUAAUACGUAGGUCUCAAGCGUUAUCCGGAUUUACUGGGCGUAAAGUGUCCGUAGUCUGAAUUGUAAGUCUGUUUUCAAAUCCUACGACUCAAUCGUAGAAAGGGAAUGGAUACUGCAAUUCUGGAAGUAUCUAGGGGUUAGUGGAAUUUCCGGUGGAGCGGUGAAAUGCGUUGAUAUCGGAAGGAACGCCGAAAGCGAAAGCAGCUAACUAUAGAAUACUUGACGAUGAGGGACGACAGUUUGGGGAGCAAACAGGAUUAGAUACCCUGGUAGUCCAAACCGUAAAUUAUGCUUGCUAGAUGUUUUUAUCAAUUUAUUGGUAGGAGUGUCGUAAUCUAACGAGUUAAGCAAGCCGCCUGGGUAGUAUAUUCGCAAGAAUGAAACUCAAAGGGAUAGGCGGGGGAACACACAAGCAGUGGAUUAUCUAGAUUAAUUGGAUAAUAAGCCAAGAAUCUUACCUAGGAUUGACAUGUAUUGUGUCUGCGGUGAAAGUCGCAUAUCCGUAGCAAUACGGAGCUUUACACAGGUGGUGCAUGGUCGUCG